UACGUAGGGUGCAAGCGUUAAUCGGAAUUACUGGGCGUAAAGCGUGCGCAGGCGGUUCGCUAAGACAGAUGUGAAAUCCCCGGGCUUAACCUGGGAACUGCAUUUGUGACUGGCGACGCUAGAGUGAUGGCAGAGGGGGUAGAAUUCCACGUGUGAGCAGUGAAAUGCGUAGAGAUGUGGAGGAAUACCGAUGGCGAAGGCAGCCCCCUGGGAUAACACUGACGCUCAUGCACGAAAGCGUGGGGAGCAAACAGG
rnacentral:rRNA from 1 species